rnacentral:rRNA from 1 species
UACGUAGGUGGCAAGCGUUGUCCGGAUUUAUUGGGUUUAAAGGGUGCGUAGGCGGCCUUAUAAGUCAGUGGUGAAAUCUCUCAGCUUAACUGAGAAACUGCCAUUGAUACUGUAGGACUUGAGUACAGAUGAUGUUGGCGGAAUAUGACAUGUAGCGGUGAAAUGCAUAGAUAUGUCAUAGAACACCGAUUGCGAAGGCAGCUGACAAAACUGUAACUGACGCUGAGGCACGAAAGUGUGGGGAUCAAACAGG